rnacentral:rRNA from 1 species
GUGACGAAGCGACGCCGCGUGGGUGAGGAAGGCCUUCGGGUUGUAAAGCCCUGUCAGGAGUUAAGAAAUGUGAGUUCGAUAAUACCGGUCUCACUUGACAAAGGCUCCAAAGGAAGCCACGGCUAACUCUGUGCCAGCAGCCGCGGUAAUACAGAGGUGGCAAGCGUUGUUCGGAAUUACUGGGCGUAAAGAGCACGUAGGUGGAUUUGUAAGUCGGAUGUGAAAGCCUUCUGUUCAACGGAAGAAUUGCAUCCGAAACUGCAAACCUUGAGUAUAGGAGGGGAGAAUGGAACUUCUGGUGGAGCGGUGAAAUGCGUAGAUAUCAGAAGGAACGCCGGCGGCGAAAGCGAUUCUCUGGCCUAUUACUGACACUGAGUGUGCGAAAGCUAGGGGAGCAAACGGGAUUAGAUACCCCGGUAGUCCUAGCCGUAAACGAUGGGCACUAAGUAGAGGGGUUUU